UACAGGGGGGCAAGCGUUGUUCGGAAUUACUGGGCGUAAAGGGUUCGUAGGUGGCCACUUAAGUCAGACGUGAAAUCCCUCAGCUUAACUGGGGAACUGCGUCUGAUACUGAGUGGCUUGAGUGCAGGAGAGGGAUGCGGAAUUCCAGGUGUAGCGGUGAAAUGCGUAGAUAUCUGGAGGAACACCGGUGGCGAAGGCGGCAUCCUGGACUGUAACUGACACUGAGGAACGAAAGCCAGGGGAGCAAACGGGAUUAGAAAACCC
rnacentral:rRNA from 1 species